AGUUUGAUCCUGGCUCAGGAUGAACGCUAGCGGCAGGCUUAACACAUGCAAGUCGAGGGGCAGCACAAGGAAGUAGCAAUACUGACUUGGUGGCGACCGGCGCACGGGUGCGUAACGCGUAUGCAACCUACCCUUCAGAAGGAGAAUAACCCGGAGAAAUUCGGACUAAUACUCCGUAUUUAUUUUUGAGGCAUCUCAGAAAUAUGAAAGAUUUAUCGCUGAAGGAUGGGCAUGCGUGACAUUAGGAAGUUGGUGAGGUAACGGCUCGCCAAUCCUACGAUGUCUAGGGGAACUGAGAGGUUUAUCCCCCACACUGGUACCGAGACACGGACCAGACUCCUACGGGAGGCAGCAGUGAGGAAUAUUGGUCAAUGGGCGCAAGCCUGAACCAGCCAUGCCGCGUGCAGGAUGACGGCUCUAUGAGUUGUAAACUGCUUUUAUACGAGAGUAAUGUCAUCUACGUGUAGGUGAUUGCAAGUAUCGUAAGAAUAAGGAUCGGCUAACUCCGUGCCAGCAGCCGCGGUAAUACGGAGGAUCCGAGCGUUAUCCGGAUUUAUUGGGUUUAAAGGGUGCGUAGGCGGAAUUUUAAGUUAGUCGUUAAAUCUCGGGGCUUAACCCCGACGGUGCGAUUAAUACUGGAU
rnacentral:rRNA from 1 species